rnacentral:tRNA from 1 species
UGAUAGCUAGUUUAAUUUAAAACAACUGAUUUCGACUCAAUAGACUAUGAUUAACUUCAUAGCUAUCAC